rnacentral:tRNA from 1 species
GCUUCUAUAGCUCAGGAGGUAGAGCGCGUCCUUGGUAAGGACGAGGUCAGCAGUUCGAGUCUGCUUAGAAGCUCCA